UUGGAGGAGCGCAGCUGCCACCAAGAGUACAGAGGAGCAGAGCAGCAAUGGAGCAAUGCAUAAGGAGCUCCGUGCUGUGAGAGGGCCCUGGGCUGCCAGAGAGUGAGGGGAGCAGUGAUCAGAGCAGCAGUUGGGACCAGAGGGAUGCGUUCUGAGCACAAGCAGCAAGGGGGGUGAGCCGGAGGCAUACACAAUGGAGCCAUGUAUAAGGAGCUACGUGUCAUGAGAAGAGACACGGACAGUGACACCCUGAAUGGUGGGCGGAGAGAGAGAGGCACAUGAGUUCCCCACAGCCAUCCAUUUAGCAAUAUCCUGCUCCUGGGUCAGCCACCUGUGACACAAGUGAGUGACCGAAAUAUGGGAACACCAAUCAUCGGACCAUCGAGCGGCUGCCAGUUACUGAGUAUCUCAUAUUUGGAUGUAUUAGAAAAUGGACCACAAGUUGAAAUCAUGGAAGACAUCACUAAUGAAAAUAGGGCCAAUAUGGCUAAUGAGCUAAUAGAUAAGGAAUACCCUGAAGUCGCAGCAAACAGGGGAUAACAAAGGCCUUGGAGGAGGCAAAUUGGCAUUGCCAACCCCUUCACCUUCACACCUUGAAGCAGCUGCACCCCAUGUACUGUCUGCAGUUCCACUGUCAGGAAGCAAGGUUUCAGGAGCCUAUUAGAAAGGAAAAUAUUUCAUAUAGGGAACAUUGAGAGGACCAUGAUAUAAACAGAUGGCCUGCAAUGACAUGACACAGAAAAUAAAAGAUUGAUGACUGCAAGAAUUGAUACCAACUCCUCUUAUAUUUUAGGAUUAAUUAUUCAGUAUCUAAUAUUCAAUUAUAAUUAAAAAUAUAUAAAAAGUCUAACA